UGGGGAAUUUUGCACAAUGGGGGAAACCCUGAUGCAGCGACGCCGCGUGAUUUAGAAGGCCUUCGGGUUGUAAAAAUCUUUUUUACGGGAUGAAAAUGACAGUACCGUAAGAAUAAGGUCCGGCUAAAUACGUGCCAGCAGCCGCGGUAAUACGUAUGGACCGAGCGUUGUCCGGAAUCAUUGGGCGUAAAGGGUACGUAGGCGGCCUAGUAAGUUAGAAGUGAAAUAAUAUAGCUCAACUAUAUAAAGCUUUUAAAACUGCUAGGCUUGAGAGAUGGAAGGGAAAGUGGAAUUCCUAGUGUAGCGGUGAAAUGCGCAGAUAUUAGGAAGAAUACCGGUGGCGAAGGCGACUUUCUGGUCAUCAUCUGACGCUGAGGUACGAAAGCAUGGGUAGCAAACAGG
rnacentral:rRNA from 1 species